rnacentral:rRNA from 1 species
UACAGGGGGGGCAAGCGUUGUUCGGAAUCACUGGGCGUAAAGCGCACGUAGGCGGCUUCUUAAGUCAGGGGUGAAAUCCUGGAGCUCAACUCCAGAACUGCCUUUGAUACUGGGGAGCUUCGAGUCCGGGAGAGGUGAGUGGAACUGCGAGUGUAGAGGUGAAAUUCGUAGAUAUUCGCAAGAACACCAGUGGCGAAGGCGGCUCACUGGUCCGGUACUGACGCUGAGGUGCGGAAGCGUGGGGAGCAAACAGG